rnacentral:rRNA from 1 species
UCCAGACUCCUACGGGAGGCAGCAGUGAGGAAUAUUGGUCAAUGGGCGGGAGCCUGAACCAGCCAUGCCGCGUGAAGGCGAGUGCCCUACGGGCGUUAAACUUCUUUUGUGCGGGAGCAAUAAGGGCCACGCGUGGCCCGAUGAGAGUACCGCACGAAUAAGCAUCGGCUCACUCCGUGCCAUCAGCCGCGGUAAUACGGAGGAUGCGAGCGUUAGCCGGAAUUAAUGGGUUUAAAGGGUGCGCAGGCGGUGUCGUAAGUCGUGUGUGAAAGGCGCGGGCCCAACCCGCGGCCCGCCGUUGAAACUGGCAGUCUAGAGUAGGAGAGAAGUAUGCGGAAUGCGCGGUGUAGCGGUGAAAUGCAUAGAUAUCACGAAGAACUCCGAUUGCGAAGGCAG